UAACCUUAUAGAUAUCCUUUGAUACACAGAUUUAAAUAUUUCUGUGGUCACAUGUCUUUACUUUCAUUGCCUUUCAGUCUUAUGUCUUGCUUCCUUACUCUAUUAAAGUCUAAAAAUAUUUCUGUAAUAUUUUUUACGGUUUUCUUUUUUCUUUUACAUUUAGCUUUUAAUCAAUCUAGAAUUUAUUUUCAGUAAAGAAAUUUAUUCCAAUAGCCAGUCAUUUAUCAUAACUCAUUUAUUAAAGUCCUUCCUUUCCCUAAUUUGUAAUGCCUUUUUUAUUGCUUUCUAAGAUAUAUAUAUAUACACACACACCUUACAAUGAUAUAUAUAUUCAUAUAUGUGCACACACUCGUUUCUGAAUGCCACUUUAUUCCUUUAAGUCAGCUCUUCUAUUUCUAUAGUAUCACAUACUUUAAGUAACUGUUUUGAUAUCUGGUAAUUUUUUGUGACUGUUCUUUGAUUUUUUCUAAUUUUUAAUAGAAAAUAAAAAUUUGUUUUUCUUUUU
rnacentral:lncRNA from 1 species